rnacentral:rRNA from 1 species
UAACGUAGGGUGCGAGCGUUGUCCGGAAUUAUUGGGCGUAAAGAGCUUGUAGGCGGUUUGUCGCGUCUGCUGUGAAAAUCCGGGGCUCAACUCCGGAACUGCAUUGGAUACUGCCUUGCUAGAGUACUGGAGAGGAGACUGGAAUUUACGGUGUAGCAGUGAAAUGCGUAGAUAUCGUAAGGAAGACCAGUGGCGAAGGCGAGUCUCUGGACAGUUACUGACGCUGAGGCACGAAGGCCAGGGGAGCAAACGGG